rnacentral:tRNA from 1 species
GCCUGGGUGGCUCAGUGCUUGAGCAUCUGCCUUCAGCUCAGGGAGUGAUUCCAGGGCCCUGGGAUCGAGUCCCACCUCGGGCU